GCAGAGUAGGAACACAUGUGUGAAAUAGUGCCGGGAAAACGGGGAGUUGUUUCCUGGACGAAAGGGCGCAAAGCCUUGCAGUGUGUGUUCCGCAUCCCGCUGC
rnacentral:ncRNA from 1 species